rnacentral:rRNA from 1 species
GCAGUAGCCACGGUAAUACGAAGGGUGCAAGCGUUAAUCGGAAUUACUGGGCGUAAAGCGUGCGCAGGCGGUUUGUUAAGACAGAUGUGAAAUCCCCGGGCUCAACCUGGGAACUGCAUUUGUGACUGGCAAGCUAGAGUGUGUCAGAGGAUGGUGGAAUUCCCGGUGUAGCGGUGAAAUGCGUAGAGAUCGGGAGGAACAUCAGUGGCGAAGGCGGCCAUCUGGGACAACACUGACGCUGAGGCACGAAAGCGUGGGGAGCAAACAGGAUUAGAUACCCCCGUAGUCCCUGUCUCUUAUAC